GCUGAGAGGUUCUUGUCAGAGGCCGCUGUGGGUUCAGGCCCAUUUGACAGCUCGCUCGACAGCAGGAGGUGAGAGACCACAAAUAAAAAGAAGCGGUGGAGGUACCACGAGCAGCAGAGAGAAAUGAAAAGGGAAGGCGUUUUGUCUGUCUGCCGCUGCCUGGUUUUCCAAGGCUGCCCAGCAAGAUGGAAAAAUGGAGACCCACCGCAUGGGGUCUCAAGUUACCCAGUAAGUCGAAGACAAGAGCUGAGAUCUUCAGACUCCCAAUCCAGACCUCGCCUUCACUGCCUCCUACCACUUCAGUGCACAAUCUGAUGAUUUAGAAAAGAGGGU
rnacentral:lncRNA from 1 species